rnacentral:rRNA from 1 species
UACGUAGGGGGCUAGCGUUGUCCGGAAUCAUUGGGCGUAAAGAGCGUGUAGGCGGCCAAGUAGGUCCGGUGUGAAAACUCGAGGCUUAACCUCGAGAUGUCAUCGGAAACCAUUUGGCUAGAGUCCGGAAGAGGAAAGUGGAAUUCCUGGUGUAGCGGUGAAAUGCGUAGAUAUCUGGAGGAACACCGGUGGCGAAGGCGGCAUCCUGGACCGACACUGACACUGAGGAGCGAAAGCCAGGGAGCGAACGGG